rnacentral:misc_RNA from 1 species
UACGUCCCUGACUUCCAUAUCAACCAACAUGGCGGCACAAUGCGAAACGGCAGAAUGCAAACUAUGCGGUGCCACCACAGGCUUGAAAAGAUGCAGUCGUUGUAAGAAAUUUUUUUACUGUAGCAGAGAUCACCAAUCAAAGGACUGGCACGAUCACAAGAAGCUAUGCUCCACUGAUGGUAAAAUGUAUCAUAGAAACAGAGAGCGGCAAAAAUAUCAUUCUGGUGAAGCAGACGAAAAAUCUGUUGUAAGUGGCGUCGGUAACCAUGAAGUAUUUCAAGACGGAAAGAAGUCGGGGUUAGUUUCUUUUUAUCAAGAACAAGCAUCUGCGGCUUCUGUAGAUGUUCAGGAACCUGAAGUUGAAGGACUACCUUUUGACACGAAUCCAUUUAAGGAAACGCAUUUCCAAACGCCGAUCGAUGGCUUCUCAAGUGAGAGUGUCGGAAAAUUUGUGCGACAUCAUCUUAACGAUAGCGGAUUUUGUGUAGUCGAUGGGCUCUUCACCACGGAUGAAAUCGAUAAAAUAGUAGGAGAGAUACGUCAAAUGGACCUAAAUGGGGAACUUAAAACAGGGCAAGUGGAAGGUGGGCGCACCAGUGGAGAAGAUGCAGAGAAGAGCACUAAACUCGGCAUUCGCAAUGAUCGCAUACACUGGUUUGAUGACAACUUGGACUCUAUUAGAGCACCAGGUGUCAGCUCAGCCAUCAAGAAAAUGGAUGACAUCAUUUUUCAAACAACUUCUGGUUUGCCAUAUCGCAUGGAAGGUCGCACAAAGGUUAUGGUUGCUUGCUACCCAGGAAAGGGAAGCUACUAUAGACGGCAUAUUGACAACCCCAAUAAAGAUGGCAGGCGUAUCACUUGUAUCUUGUAUUUAAAUAAAGGCUGGAAUGUGGAGCAAGAUGGAGGUUUACUAAGGAUUUUUCCUGAGGGUGGUUCCUACAUAGAUGUUGUGCCAAUUGCUAAUAGACUACUGUUUUUCUGGUCAGACAAACGUAAUCCCCAUGAAGUGCAACCUGCUUACAGAACACGGUAUGCACUAACAGUCUGGUACUUUGAUGGUGAUGAAAGAGCCAUUGCAAAGAAGGAGCAAAGUGAAAUGUGUAAGCUGCAUCAGACAUAACAGAGUUCAUAUCUCCAAGAUCUUACAGCAAAAACUGCUCUUCUAGAAGUGACAAUUAAAAAGACAGAAAAGGAAAUCUUGGAAAAAAACAUGGAGACCA